AUUGAACGCUGGCGGCAGGCCUAACACAUGCAAGUCGAGCGAGCGGCGGACGGGUGAGUAAUGUAUGGGGACUGCCCGAUAUAGGGGGAUAACUACUGGAAACGGUGGCUAAUACCGCAUAUUGCCGGAUAACCCAUAUGGGAUUAGCUAGUAGGUAGGGUAAUGGCUUACCUAGGCGACGAUCUCUAGCUGGUCUGAGAGGAUGAUCAGACACACUGGAACUGAGACACGGCACAGACUCCUACGGAGGCAGCAUUGGGGAAUAUGGCACAAUGGGCGCAAGCCUGAUGAAGCCAUGCCGCGUGUAUGAAGAAGGCCCUAGGGUUGUAAAGUACGUUCAGUCGGGAGGCGUUACCGACAGAAGAAGCACCGGCUAACUCCGUGCCAGCAGCCGCGGUAAUUC
rnacentral:rRNA from 1 species